CUGGGAUUAACAUACGACUUAGACCUGCAACUAAGACAUACAGCUAUGUACGGGGGGGUGGGUUUAGGAAAUAAAGCAGAAAAAAAAAAAGGUUGGCAAAAGUUGUUAAAAAAAAAUAUACGACUUAGGAUACUAAAAUUUAGCCUUAAAAUUGAAGGUAAUUCGGGUACUUACUAAAUAUUCUUAUUGCACACAUAAUUGCCAUUGCUCUUGAUCUUAAAGGGUUACAAAAAUAACAGGAUCAUUUUGAAGGAUUAAUGGCCAUGUCUCAUGCCUCACCUUUCCAAUCAUACCUUCAAAUCUGAUAUCUUGAGGCCUCAUCAAGUUGACUAACAGAGAGUCAAGUGAUUUCCAGGAAAUACAUCCCUCAAAAUUUUCUGAGGAUUCCAAGGGGUCUUGCACAGACAGGGAAAUUGAGGUACAGGAAGCUGAGGUAACUUGCCUGGAUCACUUAUCUUGGAAGAGGCUGAAUCAAUUCAAAUCUAGACAUUCUGGGACCUGGACCUGACUUCUUAACUAGAGCUUUUGACAUCUGCCCUUCUGAUAUCCAACUAAUGACUGGGACAUCACACAACUCAUUGAUCACCUCCUGGGCUGACUUUGACAUUGGGCAUCUGCAUCAUUUUUACUCGCUUGUUCAAGUUGUAGGUGCCAGGCAGUCUCUGAGGAGUUGUUGAUAGAUGAAGAAAGAGUCCUGUUCACAGCCAAGAAAGCAAGGAACAGACUGACCACAGGUGGGAGACACACCUACAAGAUAUUCAUCAUCACUGACAGAAGAAAAGAACAAUGAAAGACCCUGGAAUCCGUCAUGCCUGAAGGCUGACAUUUCUAAACCCUCUCCUUACUGUCCACUUUCCCUAUAUAAUUGCUUCAAGAUUCUGUAAUCCUUGAAGAUGGUUUUUUUGAGACAUUAGUCUACCAUCUUCCUGAUUAUGCUGGCUCAUAAAAUUAAAACUUCCUUUCUCCAUUCCUAACUUGUUGUAAUUAAUUGACUCAGAUUACGGGGAGAAGAGUGAACCCAUUGCUCAGUUUCAC
rnacentral:lncRNA from 1 species